GUGCUCACUUUGGCAGCACAUAUACUAAAAUUGGAAUGAUACAGGGAACAUUAGCAAGGCCCCAGCUCAAGGAUGACAUGCAAUUUCAUGAAGUGCUCCAUAUUUUA
ensembl:snRNA U6 U6 spliceosomal RNA